CCUACGGGAGGCAGCAGUGAGGAAUAUUGGUCAAUGGGCGGGAGCCUGAACCAGCCAAGUCGCGUGAGGGAUGACGGUCCUAUGGAUUGUAAACCUCUUUUGCCCGGGGACAAAAGACUCCACGCGUGGCGGUCCGAAAGUACCCGAAGAAAAAGCGCCGGCUAACUCCGUGCCAGCAGCCGCGGUAAUACGGAGGACCCGAGCGUUAUCCGGAUUGAUUGGGUUUAAAGGGUGGGUAGGCGGAAGAUCAAGUCAGCGGUAAAAGCGCGAGGCUCAACCGCGUCCAGCGGUUGAAACUGGAUUUCUUGAGUGAACGAGAGGUAUGCGGAAUGCGUGGUGUAGCGGUGAAAUGCAUAGAUAUCACGAAGAACCCCGAUUGCGAAGGCAGCAUACCGGGGCGCGACUGACGCUGAUGCUCGAAAGUGCGGGUAUCAAACAGGAUUAGAUACCCUUGUAGUC
rnacentral:rRNA from 1 species